rnacentral:rRNA from 1 species
GACGAACGCUGGCGGCGUGCUUAACACAUGCAAGUCGAACGGUGAAGCGCCUUCCUUUUUGGUGGGUGUGGAUGAGUGGCGAACGGGUGAGUAACACGUGAGUAACCUGCCCCCUUCUUCUGGAUAACCACAUGAAAGUGUGGCUAAUACGGGAUAUUCUGGGUCUGUCGCAUGAUGGGUCUGGGAAAGAUAUUGUUUCGGUGGGGGAUGGGCUCGCGGCCUAUCAGCUUGUUGGUGGGGUGAUGGCCUACCAAGGCGGUGACGGGUAGCCGGCCUGAGAGGGUGGACGGUCACACUGGGACUGAGACACGGACCAGACUCCUACGGGAGGCAGCAGUGGGGAAUAUUGCACAAUGGGCGCAAGCCUGAUGCAGCGACGCCGCGUGAGGGAUGGAGGCCUUCGGGUUGUGAACCUCUUUCGCCAGUGAAGCAGGCCUGCCUCGUUUGUGGGUGGGUUGACGGUAGCUGGAGAAGAAGCGCCGGCUAACUACGUG